rnacentral:miRNA from 1 species
ACGUCAAGGCGGUUGUGAUGUG